rnacentral:rRNA from 1 species
GAUGAACGCUGGCGGCGUGCCUAAUACAUGCAAGUCGAGCGAACAGAUAAGGAGCUUGCUCCUUUGACGUUAGCGGCGGACGGGUGAGUAACACGUGGGUAACCUACCUAUAAGACUGGGAUAACUUCGUGAAACCGGAGCUAAUACCGGAUAAUAUUUCGAACCGCAUGGUUCGAUAGUGAAAGAUGGUUUUGCUAUCACUUAUAGAUGGACCCGCGCCGUAUUAGCUAGUUGGUAAGGUAACGGCUUACCAAGGCGACGAUACGUAGCCGACCUGAGAGGGUGAUCGGCCACACUGGAACUGAGACACGGUCCAGACUCCUACGGGAGGCAGCAGUAGGGAAUCUUCCGCAAUGGGCGAAAGCCUGACGGAGCAACGCCGCGUGAGUGAUGAAGGUCUUCGGAUCGUAAAACUCUGUUAUUAGGGAAGAACAUACGUGUAAGUAACUGUGCACGUCUUGACGGUACCUAAUCAGAAAGCCACGGCUAACUACGUG